rnacentral:miRNA from 1 species
UGAAUGUGAGGCAUUGGAUUGA